rnacentral:rRNA from 1 species
GACGAACGCUGGCGGCGUGCCUAAUACAUGCAAGUAGAACGCUGAAGGAGGAGCUUGCUUCUCUGGAUGAGUUGCGAACGGGUGAGUAACGCGUAGGUAACCUGCCUGGUAGCGGGGGAUAACUAUUGGAAACGAUAGCUAAUACCGCAUAAUAGCAGUUGUUGCAUGACAACUGUUUGAAAGGUGCAAUUGCACCACUACCAGAUGGACCUGCGUUGUAUUAGCUAGUUGGUGGGGUAACGGCUCACCAAGGCGACGAUACAUAGCCGACCUGAGGGGGUGAUCGGCCACACUGGGACUGAGACACGGCCCAGACUCCUACGGGAGGCAGCAGUAGGGAAUCUUCGGCAAUGGACGGAAGUCUGACCGAGCAAAGCCGCGUGAGUGAAGAAGGUUUUCGGAUCGUAAAGCUCUGUUGUAAGAGAAGAACGAGUGUGAGAGUGGAAAGUUCACAGUGUGACGGUAUCUUACCAGAAAGGGACGGCUAACUACGUG